AUGCUGCAGAUUAAACUCCCCAACUGCAUCCUUUUGAAGGACACAUUCAAACCACAGCAGCCACUCAAGCAAGAAAGAAAGAGGAUAGGGGUGGGGCGGGGGCGAGGAGAAGCAGCAAGAAGAGAUCAUUGUCUGGGAGUAGAACAGUCUCGGGAAGAAGUAGAUGUGGGGACUCAGAUGAGACCCCCGGGUCUCUGUCAUUCCCAGGACUCUACUGUUCUGCUUCCCUUUCAGAGUGCAGUUCUCUUGCUCAACAAGACGAGAGGGGAUUUGAUGCCCGCAUGCCACUUUUAUCCCAUCCCACUAAUGGCCCACAUGUGCUUCCAGGGCAUAUGCGUCCUGUCUCUACAACAGGAAGAUCAGAAGGAAGAGAGAAAAAUGAGGCCAACCAAAGCACCCUAUGUCCAACGGUGCAAGAGGACUAAGGAGGUUGGAGGUGAAGUCUGAGGCAUCAUUUCCUAUUACAGCUGUUUAAGAUGCCCAUCAACACAAUGAACAGAGCAGGGGUGGUGGACAGAGUCUCACAGUUUACCCAUGAGGCCACAUCCCUUACAAAACUCUGGUCACAGUAAUCAGGGUGAGGCCGGACACGAUAGGAUGUUCUGGAGCCAGGAAGAUUUAGGGCUCUCUGAAAAGACUCAUCACCCCCACCACCACACCCCUGAGAGGGGCAGCAUGCAGAGGACCAAGAAGGAAAUCCCACAAGAGGAGUGGACGCUGGAUCCUGGCUUUGGGGAGGAGCAAGAGGUUUUUAGUGCACGUCAUAGAAUUGGCCCAGCAGAGAGCAGGGUAACACUAGGACUUGAGCUGGUAGCAGGUCCAAAGGAAAAGCCCCGUGGCUGAUGACUUCUUCCCAGACUUUCUUAGCACCCAGCAAAGAUAGGAAAUGGCUGAUAGACUUCCCAGACUAAAUUCCAACCAAUAAGGAGCUGAGAUGAUCGCAGGAGAAGUGGGAAGGGAACAGUGCUAAAGAGGAGCUUCACGGGAAGAGAGGACGAACGGUGUUCAUUGUCAGUUUCUGAUAACAGAGGAAGAUAACGGCUGAACAAGACCAAAGAUGGAUGCCUGAGAGUUUCGAAGGUUGGGUGUGAUUUAAUGGCUAUGGGAGCCUAGAAAGGGCCAGCAUGCCCUUUAAAAUAUAGUUGUGGUCACAUACACUCCAGGAACAAAAAGAUGCUGGUGUCUGAAGUGUAGCUUCAGUGCCAUUCUCAUGACAUCUGCCUCAGUUUCUGUUCAUAGUAGAACUACAUUUUCUAAAAUUAAUUUGUACCUUCCUGUUAUCUCCAUAAAUGUGUGUUCACAACCAGUGAUAGGAGAUAGAUAAAUAGAUAGAUAGAUAGAUAGAUAGAUAGAUAGAUAGAUAGAUGAUAGAGUAGAGAUAAAGAUAGAUGAUAGAGAUAGAGGAUAGAUAGAAAGAAAGAAAGAUAAUAGGGAGAUAGAUUAGAGAUAGAUGACAGAUGAUAUAGACAGAUUAUAGAUGAUACAGAGAUAGAUUAGAAAUGGAGACAGAUGAUAGAAGAUAGAGAUAGGUAGAUAGAUGAUAAAUAGACACAGAUAGAUGGGUAGAAAGCCUCCAACGACUAGCGUCCUCAUUUCUCUCACCUCUUCCUCUGCUCCCGUCAGAGAAUUCAGCCAGCCACUAAGCUUUGCGUCAUCCUUGGGUUACCGCUCUAUAUUUAGAACACCAUGUUAAAAACUUGUUUGUUAGCCGAAAUUCAAAUCAUUUGGGCACCUGCUUUUUGUUUUGGUUUUCGCUUCUGUGCACGAACUACAUCUGAAACUGUACCCCUCUCACUCCCACCCUUCCUCUGGGAGGGGAGACAGUGGCAAAGACUCUCAGCAGGGGAGGCAGCCAGGGACCCUCUGAAUCUGUGGGUGCUGCGUCUCCAAUCAACCACAGUUGAAAAUAAUUUUCUUAAAUUACAUCUGCACCGACCGUGUGCAGACUUUUUUUCCCCCUCGUCAUUAUCCCCAAAACAAUGCAGUAGAGCAGCUGUUAUGCAGUGGGUUGUGACCAGCAUUUUAAAAGAUCAGAUGGGCUAGAACAGAAGUAUUAGGAUGCAUUAUACAUACGGACACAUAUUGUUUCACAACAUUUUACAUAUCAUUGGCCCUGUAUUCAGUUCUAAAAGGAAGCUGGAGAGGAUUUAAAGUACUCAGGAAGAUGCACAUCGGUUACAUACAAAUAACACGCCUUAGACAAUAAGGGUCUUUAGCAUCCUCGGACUGGGACACCAUGUUGGAUCCUGGAACUAGUCUCCCACAACAGCGAGGGACAACUGGAACUCCAGACCUGGGGAGUUCCCAAGUGGCAAGAAGGGGACAGCUAUUGUUCCCACCCCCAGGAGUUUCUCUCCUGUUCUAGUCCACCCACUCACUGAUGGAAGGCUCCCAGAGCUGUUUUAGUUGUAUCACUUAAGAGCUUUGAGGAGACAGCGCCUUUGCCUUUGCUGAGCUCUCAGUGAAGAAAUCCUGCCCCCGACAGCUUCUCUUCCUGACCUAAUGACUCUGCUGUUGUAAACCCUCAGGAUUCCCAGGUCAAGCUUCUUUCCUGUCAGUCAGUGGAUGCCACACUAGACUUCCUCCCACAGUUCCCUUCUGGCUUUUCUCUGAGCCCUUCAGGAGGCUGUUGUAGCUUCCCUUUGGGCACACUCCAAGUUGUUGUGGCCUCCCAGAAGUGAACAGUGUACCUCUAAAUCCAACACCAGGCAGGACACCUGAAGGAAAGCCUCUAGUCUCCAGUGCAGGUC
rnacentral:lncRNA from 1 species